CAACAUGGCUGUUCCUCACAGAGAAAUCGGAGGUUUGCUGAGCCAUCAAAGAAUGCCAUUAAAACCCGUCAUUGCCUUUCAACGAUUAAACAUGUGAGUGAAGAAAGAGAGAUGGGGUGAAAAGUGGAAGAGUCUAUAGAGACAUCUAUCGGUCGCAUUUGGAACUGCAGACACUAGCACUCACUGACGGAUAAUGACAAAACAGACAUCAACUCAUCAGGGAAACGGUCCAAGAUGGUUUGAAGCUGAUGGGAACAGCUCUGGUGGACAUUCCUGCGGUCAGCAAGCCAAUUGCACGCUCCCUCAAAACUCUGUGGCAUUGUGCUGUGGGAUUAAACUGCACAUUUAGAGUGGCCUUUUAUUGUGACCAGCCUAAGGCACUCC